CAGUCGCCGCGGUAAUACGUAGGUCCCGAGCGUUGUCCGGAUUUAUUGGGCGUAAAGCGAGCGCAGGCGGUUAGAUAAGUCUGAAGUUAAAGGCUGUGGCUUAACCAUAGUACGCUUUGGAAACUGUUUAACUUGAGUGCAAGAGGGGAGAGUGGAAUUCCAUGUGUAGCGGUGAAAUGCGUAGAUAUAUGGAGGAACACCGGUGGCGAAAGCGGCUCUCUGGCUUGUAACCGACGCUGAGGCUCGAAAGCGUGGGGAGCAAACAGGAUUAGAUACCCCCGUAGUCCCUGUCUCUUAUACA
rnacentral:rRNA from 1 species